rnacentral:rRNA from 1 species
GUAACACGUGGGUAACCUGCCUGUAAGACUGGGAUAACUCCGGGAAACCGGGGCUAAUACCGGAUGGUUGUCUGAACCGCAUGGUUCAGACAUAAAAGGUGGCUUCGGCUACCACUUACAGAUGGACCCGCGGCGCAUUAGUCUAGUUGUGUGAGGUAACGGCUCACCAAGGGCGACGAUGCGUAGCCGACCUGAGAGGGUGAUCGGCCACACUGGGACUGGAGACACGGCCCAGACUCCUACGGGAGGCAGCAGUAGGGAAUCUUCCGCAAUGGACGAAAGUCUGACGGAGCAACGCCGCGUGAGUGAUGAAGGUUUUCGGAUCGUAAAGCUCUGUUGUUAGGGAAGAACAAGUGCCGUUCAAAUAGGGCGGCACCUUGACGGUACCUAACCAGAAAGCCACGGCUAACUACGUGCCAGCAGCCGCGGUAAUACGUAGGUGGCAAGCGUUGUCCGGAAUUAUUGGGCGUAAAGGGCUCGCAGGCGGUUUCUUAAGUCUGAUGUGAAAGCCCCCGGCUCAACCGGGGAGGGUCAUUGGAAACUGGGGAACUUGAGUGCAGAAGAGGAGAGUGGAAUUCCACGUGUAGCGGUGAAAUGCGUAGAGAUGUGGAGGAACACCAGUGGCGAAGGCGACUCUCUGGUCUGUAACUGACGCUGAGGAGCGAAAAGCGUGGGGAGCGAACAGGAUUAUGAUUACCCUGGUAGUCCACGCCGUAAACGGAUGAGUGCUAAGUGUUAGGGGGUUUCCGCCCCUUAGUGCUGCAGCUAACGCAUUAAGCACUCCGCCUGGGGAGUACGGUCGCAAGACUGAAACUCAAAGGAAUUGACGGGGGCCCGCACAAGCGGUGGAGCAUGUGGUUUAAUUCGAAGCAACGCGAAGAACCUUACCAGGUCUUGACAUCCUCUGACAAUCCUAGAGAUAGGACGUCCCCUUCGGGGGCAGAGUGACAGGUGGUGCAUGGUUGUCGUCAGCUCGUGUCGUGAGAUGUUGGGUUAAGUCCCGCAACGAGCGCAACCCUUGAUCUUAGUUGCCAGCAUUCAGUUGGGCACUCUAAGGUGACUGCCGGUGACAAACCGGAGGAAGGUGGGGAUGACGUCAAAUCAUCAUGCCCCUUAUGACCUGGGCUACACACGUGCUACAAUGGACAGAACAAAGGGCAGCGAAACCGCGAGGUUAAGCCAAUCCCACAAAUCUGUUCUCAGUUCGGAUCGCAGUCUGCAACUCGACUGCGUGAAGC